UAUGUAAAGACGAGGCAAGCAGAGAUAGGCGUCUCUCUCGCUCUCUCUUUGUUUGUGAGAGAGAGAGAGAGAGAGAGAGAGAGAGAGAGAGAGAGAGAGAGAGAGAGAUAUAUACACACACACAGUAGUCCUACAGAUGGCACUAUACUCACCCAUACAGAUAAUUGAAGCACUCAGCAAUCCCAGGAGAAACAUGAUCUUCUUGAGCUAACUCUCCAUAGACUGUAGCAUAGAAUAGUUGGGUCCUGGAACGCUUCACUUACAACAAGUAGCAGCAAAGGACGCAACCUCGCUCAUGCGCAUAGCAGACGAAGAAGCAGCCCCCAGACCAUUGCUGAAGAAAGAAUCUGCCUGUGGCUGAAUCUAGUUGAUGAUACCUGAUCUAUAGUCUGCUGCCAACCCCCCUGACACAGUGGGUGUCUCUCUACAGCUGUCUUGGGUCUGUCCUCAGAACAUGCACCUCUAUAUCCUAGUGAGUGCCCUUCUCAGCAUCCCUGUCUCUUUGGCUUUCUCUUUGGGUUGGAAUGAAGACUUACAGAUAGUGUGUUCUGGUCGAGAGUUCCGCCUGCCGGUCUACUCAGGCUCAAGAAUCGUGACCUUUACCCCCAGCUACACACCAGGACAACUAAAAGUGCUUCUGGAGAACAACAAUUUGAAGGACCCGCGGUUUGAGUGGACGAAAGAUAGGACGUUGCUGCUGAAUGACGUCACACACCGUGACCAGGGGCUCUACUCUAUCAAACUGUCCUCUGGAUUCACCUAUGAGACCGUUCGCCUCACUGUCUCAGAAUGUAUAAAAACCUUCCGUCUGGGCUAUGGGGAAACCUUUCAGCACAACAUCCCUAAAUAUGGCUCCGUGCUGGAGUUCUCUCCCCGGGGCUCCCCCUCUGACUCCCAGACGGUAUUACUGUGGAACCGGAUGGACCCUGAGACCAGCGAGGCGAGCCGGGGGAGGCUAGGGUCAAGUGGGAGGGUCUGGGUGGCAGAGAGGGUGACCCAGGCAGACCAGGGAAACUACACCCUCCGAGACGAGAAUGGGAAAGUAAUCUCCCGCAGCAAGUUGACUGUCAAUGGUGAGCACUAG
rnacentral:lncRNA from 1 species